GUGACAUACCUACAACUGUUGCUUCGGCGGGUAGGCCGUCCCCUGAAAAGGACGCCUCCCGGCCCGGACCGGACCCCCCGUGGGGCCGGACUCGGCGCCCGCCGGAGGAUAACCAAACGCUAUUUUAACGACGUUUCUUCUGAGUGGCAUAAGCAAAAUAAUCAAAACUUUUAACAACGGAUCUCUUGGUUCUGGCAUCGAUGAAGAACGCAGCGAAAUGCGAUAAGUAAUGUGAAUUGCAGAAUUCAGUGAAUCAUCGAAUCUUUGAACGCACAUUGCGCCCGCCAGCAUUCUGGCGGGCAUGCCUGUUCGAGCGUCAUUUCAACCCUCAAGCUCUGCUUGGUGUUGGGGCUCUACGGUCGACGUAGGCCCUCAAAGGUAGUGGCGGACCCUCCCGGAGCCUCCUUUGCGUAGUAACAUUUCGUCUCGCACUGGGAUCCGGAGGGACUCUUGCCGUAAAACCCCCCAAUUUUUCAAGGUUGACCUCGGAUCAGGUAGGAAUACCCGCUGAACUUAAGCAUAUC
rnacentral:rRNA from 1 species